GGUAAAAUGGCCGAGAAUUAGGUGGAAAGCUGUAAACUUUUUUAGGGAGGUUGGAGUCCUCUUUUUACCA
rnacentral:tRNA from 1 species